CCCUUAGAUGUCCGGGGCCGCACGCGCGCUACACUGAAGGAAUCAGCGUGGCUUUCUCCCUGACCCGAAAGGGUUGGGAAACCCGUUGAAUCUCCUUCGUGAUAGGGAUUGGGGCUUGAAAUUGUUCCCCAUGAACGAGGAAUUCCCAGUAAGCGCGAGUCAUAAGCUCGCGUUGAUUACGUCCCUGCCCUUUGUACACACCGCCCGUCGCUACUACCGAUUGAACGGUUUAGUGAGGGCCUCGGAUUGGUCUUGGCCCGCUCUUUACCGGGCGGCGCCGUUGGUCGAGAAGACGCUCGAACUUGAUCGUUUAGAGGAAGUAAAAGUCGUAACA
rnacentral:rRNA from 1 species